CUGGAAGAUAAAGGAAGCCCGGCUUCGGGGUCGGGCUUCUGAAAGGCUAAGAGCAGCAGAGGCGUCCCGGUUUUAGGGGUCCAGGGGCACUUGCGUCUUCCCGCCCUAAAAUAGCCUAAUCCGGGCCUGGUCACCGCUGUACGGACCAGCUAUAAACAUGGCCGCUCCCAGCAAAGAUGGUGAAAAGGACGCGGCCAUCAUACCACCCAUUAAAGCUCAGAGAACCCACAAUCCAGUUCUCUGGAAGGCUGCCGGGUAGGCCGACAACCUUAAAAUUGCAACUGAUUCUGCGCACCGGGCGUUCGGGAUGGGAAGAGCUGAUAUUGAGUUUUUUCUAGCAAAGAUAAUGACAUUUCCAUCCAUGACAACAUCACAGGAGUGAUCCUGGUUUUCUGGAUAUCUGUUCCAACUCCAUGGCAGCUGGGAUGAAUAUGACCUUGUCUGUGGUUAAAAAACAAAGAGUUUACUGAGUAAGUAUCUGAAUCAAUAUUGCAAAAGAUUUGGCUGAAAAAGCAAAAUUUGAGUGCUUU
rnacentral:lncRNA from 1 species